rnacentral:lncRNA from 1 species
GAAGAGUUUUACUUUGAGGAUCUGUGUUCAUUAAAUUAACUUAGCCUCCGUUUGGUUCGGGGUUAAGGAAAAAGUAGCUAUACCAGGGAUAGGGUUAAGUUUAGGGUUAAAGUGGUGUUAAAAUUUUUUUGUGUUUGGUUGGAGUAGGUGGGAUAAAAAGAUAAUAAUUGAUAAAUAAGAAAAAAGGUGAGGGCUCGGGAUGCGUGCGGGGUUAAAGUUGGGAAGGGGAGUGGGGUUAAUGAGUAGGUGGGAUAAAAAGAUAAUAAUUGAUAAAUAAGAAAAAAGGUGAGGGCUCGGGAUGCGUGCGGGGUUAAAGUUGGGAAGGGGAGUGGGGUUAAUGAUUGAUAAAGAAGAAAAAGGUGAGGGCUCGGGAUGCGUGCGGGGUUAAAGUUGGGAGGGAGAGUGGGGUUAGUAAACCCCACCCUUUUUUCAUGGUGUUUGGGUAUAAAUUGGGG